GUUGCUGAGAACGUUGAAUCUCUGACUAGAACCACCAGUCACAAAUUGCUGACAAGUGUUCUGGUCAUGUAGUUCUGUUUCGGCAAGAGCGACGUUUGGCUCUCACAUUUUUGGAAUCAGAAGAACCAUUUGUUUUAUUUUCCUGUGGUGUUUGGCUGCUGACAUAGGCAUUACUGAUCUAGGAACAAUGAGUUGACGAAUUUAUAAAAGAUUUCCAUGAAGCUAUUCUUUCUGUGAAGGAUCAUCAUCACUGGCUAUAGACUACAAGAUUAAGAUGUCUUCAACACUUGAAUGAAGAAGCUGACAUGAAGUAAUAUAUACGUACGUACAUAAUGAAUACUCAAGUGGCGGCCAUAUGCUUUGGCACCUUUGGCAGCGAAAUUUGUCCAAUAUCCCGUGAUGUUAAUAACCCAUCGCCAUGGUCAAGGAAGAUGCCGAAUUGAAAGCAAACAACCCGUUCUCACCUAGAACCCGCAAAUGACGUGACGGGGAGCGGUCGGCUCCGUACUAACGGGAAAAGCAGCCAAUUAUGUU